GGACAUGAGGACAAUCUGGCUGUAACAUCUGUCACCCUAUUAAUCACCAGGGUUGAUGUGACUGAGCUGGCUGCCUAGGCAGAUGUUCCCUUCCUCCCUCACCACUCCUUGUGUGUCCUCUGGACACUGCAUGCUCAGUGAAAGAGAAUGACUUUCCCUGAUGAAGGAGGACUGUUCUUUAAGUCAGGCAUAUACAAGUAGCUCCUAUGCUCCCCUCCCAGAACCUCCAAACGAGCUCUCAAGUUAAAAACAGUGUAUGUACUAGGAUGCAAUUUUUAAAAGAAAUGUAAUUGAUAGAGUGUGAAUAGAAAAAAAGUUGUAGGAAUAUAUAUCAAUUU
rnacentral:snRNA from 1 species